UACGUAGGGGGCAAGCGUUGUCCGGAUUUAUUGGGCGUAAAGAGCGUGUAGGCGGCCAGGUAGGUCUGCUGUGAAAACUCGAGGCUUAACCUCGAGCUGUCGGCGGAAACCCUCUGGCUAGAGUCCGGAAGAGGAGAGCGGAAUUCCUGGUGUAGCGGUGAAAUGCGCAGAUAUCAGGAAGAACACCCGUGGCGAAGGCGGCUCUCUGGGACGGUACUGACGCUGAGACGCGAAAGCGUGGGGAGCGAACAGG
rnacentral:rRNA from 1 species